rnacentral:lncRNA from 1 species
CAAUAUUAAAUUUAGCAUUUAUUUAAUGUUUACAAAAUUUUUCUAAUACAUUUAAAAUUGAAAAAAGUCCAUAGACCUAUAUUAAAUUUUUCAACUGAAAAAUAGCGAAAAUAUCAAGUUAUUUUCGGAAUUUUAUAUUAUUUUAUUGUUGAAGUGAGACUUUAUGAGUUUUAAAUUUCUUGACCCAUUUUUCUAACUUUCAUCGAACUAAAUAUAGAAAUUAUUAAUUAUUGUUUCUACCUAAGAUCAACUAACAGACAAAUAUAUUUUCUAGAAUUAAAUAUCAAAUUAAGCAAAAUCAGAACGUUACAUCAUUUGAAGAGUUCAACAAACGGAAAUAAAUGUCCUACUUCGGUUAAAUUAAAUAAAAAAUUAUUCCUAAAAUGCAUUUAACAGAAUUUUUUUUCAAAUAAACAGUUAAGCGAGAUAAUUAUGUAUGGAAUUUGGAGCAAUUAACGGUUUAAGCUUUUACUUCACUUAAAAAAAAAAUAAAAGUCGAUCUUUAAAUUCGUCUUUUUUUUAUACGGAAAUAAUAAAAUUUCGAAACAAUUAAAAUGCCAGCUCAUCCCACCAAUGUGUUUACAAUAUUAUCACAUGUUGAAUGUCGACCUUUAAGUUGCUCUAGUUUUGUUACUAUAGUAACAGUAAUUUCUACAUCAUCACACUUUAACUUUUCUAUAAUGAAGUAGCCUCAUGUAUCACUUAUGCAACUUACAUGAAUGAAAAAUAUUCUUCACUAAAUUUGCAUAAAUUGCUCACAUGCUAGAACGAAUUAAUCAAAGUAAAACGACGAAAAAUAAAUAAAUCAGCUGUUGUUAUUGCCAUGAAAUAAUAAUGGAUCAUACAAUAAUAGCCUUGAAAUAUAUCUUCUAUACAACUAGAAAGAAAAAUAAGAUGGAUUUGUUGAAAUCUUGUUAUGCUAACCAUGAUCCAAUCUAGUGAAGACUGGCGAGGCCAUUCACCCUUUUCUUUCUAUCAUAUCCUCAUCUUUCACUCAACUCUGGUUAAUUCCCGAAUAAACUCUCAAGAGAAGUUAUCUCUAUCUAGUUCGAUUCUUGACAUAAAAGAGAAUUCGAUAAUAAAUACACUCCAGUUGGAAUUCAGAAAACUAUAUAAAAGUUGUGAGAAGAGGAGUUAUUAAAACUUUUAAAACUAUUAACUCUCAUUAAUCCUUAAUUCUACUGUUUCAUAUUUUUGCCUUUCUGAAUAAAAUUUUCUUUUUUUUUUUUCUUUUCCGUCAAAACAGGUAGAACUGUGACCCG